rnacentral:rRNA from 1 species
UAGAGUUUGAUCAUGGCUCAGAACGAACGCUGGCGGCGUGGAUUAGGCAUGCAAGUCGAGCGAGAAAGCGGUCUUGUAUCGUGAGUAAAGCGGCGGAAGGGUGAGUAAUACGUAGAUUACCUACCCCCAAGUUGGGAAUAAUCAUUGGAAACGAUGACUAAUGCCCGAUGUGGACAUCUUUCGGGAUGUUUAAAGACGGCCUCUACUUGUAAGCUGUCGCUUGGGGAGGGGUUUACGGCCUAUUAGCUUGUUGGUGGGGUAAUGGCCUACCAAGGCUGUGAUGGGUAGCCGACCUGGGAGGGUGACCGGCCACACUGGGACUGAGACACUGCCCAGACUCCUACGGGAGGCUGCAGUCGAGAAUCAUUCGCAAUGGGCGAGAGCCUGACGAUGCGACGCCGCGUGCGGGAAGAAGGCCCUCGGGUUGUAAACCGCUGUCACACGUUAUGAAGAGCGUGGCGGGGAAUAUCCGUCGCGUUUGACAAAGGCGUGGGAGGAAGCCACGGCUAACUUCGUGCCAGCA